rnacentral:lncRNA from 10 species
GAGUCUACAGUUGAUUCAACAAAGCUGAAUAUUUAGUAAAUAUUCAGAUGACAGCUUCAAAGCUGAAAGCUUUGAAGAAGAGAGGAAUGGUGGUCUUGAAGCAGCAGUUGGGAGAAAUGAGUAUACCUCCUUCACCUCCAGGUCAGCUGUCACUCUCCUUGUUAUCUGCAGUCUGGUGUGCAGGCUGAAGAAACAGCCCUGUGUGGGACACUGCUGGUCUUCUGGUAGAAAGAAAAGAAAGAUGAUGGAAUCACACUGUGAUUCAGAUUGUGGGCUGCACUUCCACUUACGUUUUAUUGGCUAAAGUGUGCCUGCCCUCAACCCGGGACACUGGAGCUAGCACCAAAGCCUACACGGAGAGGAUCAGGACAUCCUGUUGAGCACCAGAACAUUUCCUUCCUCAAGAAAAGGAAAUACAAAUGGAUUUAUUCUCAGGGCUACAGAUUUAGGAAAAAAAAAAAAAAAAGCUGUGCUUAACACCAGGCCACUGUACAAUCACCAGGACUUUUCUGGAUGUGGAGCAACUUCAUUUGGUUAUUUCAGAAUGCUUUGUAAACACGGCAGACACGGACAAAGCGUGGUUGAAGCAUUUCAGUUGUACUUGUCUCUCAUUUUCUACACGUGUUUUCCCAAAAGCUGCUUUCCCAAAAGGAGCCUGGGGAGAGGCCUUAAUCAU